rnacentral:rRNA from 1 species
ACGAACGCUGGCGGCGUGCUUCACCCAUGCAAGUCGAGCGGAAAGGCCCUGCUUUUGUGGGGUGCUCGAGUGGCGAACGGGUGAGUAACACGUGAGUAACCUGCCCUUGACUUUGGGAUAACUUCAGGAAACUGGGGCUAAUACCGGAUAGGAGCUCCUGCUGCAUGGUGGGGGUUGGAAUGUUUCGGCGGUUGGGGAUGGACUCGCGGCUUAUCAGCUUGUUGGUGGGGUAGUGGCUUACCAAGGCUUUGACGGGUAGCCGGCCUGAGAGGGUGACCGGCCACAUUGGGACUGAGAUACGGCCCAGACUCCUACGGGAGGCAGCAGUGGGGAAUAUUGCACAAUGGGCGGAAGCCUGAUGCAGCAACGCCGCGUGCGGGAUGACGGCCUUCGGGUUGUAAACCGCUUUCGCCUGUGACGAAGCGUGAGUGACGGUAAUGGGUAAAGAAGCACCGGCUAACUACGUG